CAAGCACCUAAACUCAGGGGCUGCUACUAACCAUAAUGGCUGCUUAAACAGAAAUGCUGACAGUAAGCUGAUCUUAUUGCCUUUGGGGGGGCUGGAAAAUGCCCCUCAGAGUGAAUUUAUAAAUUCUAAAUAU